CAAUUAGAAAUAUCGGUAGCUCAACAAUUGAUUCCACACCAGCCCAUUCCUUCAUUCAACAAGAAGACCCAGAAGUCUCCAGCAAUUUAUGCGGCAAAAAAAAAAACCAUACAAUGUCUUCACGACCUCAAAAUUCCUUCAAUAUACACAGAACAGCAACAACAACAGAAGGCGGUACGAUUUCCUUGUCAUAUUUUCCAAACGUCCCUCUCUAUUUUAGCAGCGCAGAGGCACGCAUUUUCGUCCUUGUUGCGUGAGAUUGAUACACGCAGCACAAGAAUGACGCCGAAUCAAUAGAAGACGUCCGUCCCCUUUUGCUCUUCCGAAAUGGGGUGAUUUUCAUGCAAAAAGGUUUCUCCCUUAAAUUGUGAAAAGAUUUUGGAAUUUUCAAUUUCAAAAUGGUCCCUGGUUUAUCCGUUUCGUCGAUCCCCCCCCCCCUCACAAAAGAAAUCAUGAAUCAUAGAGUUCUUCUAUAUAUACUCCCUACUUCAUCAUUAUGGGGGGAUGAGAGAAAAUUGUGAGAGAUUUGUUGUUCAAGAUUUUUAGUUCCAAAUUUUCAGAAAAAAAUAUAUACUAAGAGUAAUUUAAGCGAUCAUUCCAUCAAGAUUUUACUUGGGUUUCGUUGUUUUUGUCUCUGUCUGUGUCCAACUGUGGUGAAGUCAUCAUUUCUUUGCUCGUUGUCUCAUUUCAUUGCACUUCGAAAGAAUUCGUCUGGGUCCUAUGGACCCCACCAUUACAUUUUUCUUUGGCUCAUGGAAGCCCAAUUUAUUUAUUUUUCGAGACGGCCAGCCAUUAAACCAACGAAAAGGUUCCCAAAAAAGGCGUACAUGUUUUGAAGUCAGAAGAAUCUGAAACAGAUCUCGAAGUUAAAGAGAAUGGGACAAAAGCCUACCAUUCAUUCUUAAAAUUUUAAUUUUUGUUAUUUUUAGGCCUAAGACCUUGUCUGUUUUUUACUACGAUUAUUAUUUUGUUAGAAUUUUAGGACAGGUGAAAAUUGGGCCUAAGUCCCAAAACAAAAUGGGCCCAAAUACUGGUCUAGACGAACAAAAACAUUAUUUAUACCCAACUCUCUUUCUCCCUUUACUUUA